GGAGCCUUGGCUGUGCAGUGGUUAAGCGCUCAGCUGCUAACUGAAAGGUCAGUGGUUCAAACCCACCAGCCACUC
rnacentral:tRNA from 1 species